GCCACCGCCCAGCGCGAGCUUGGCGAUCCGCCUCACUCGACUGCGGCCUGCGGUCCGAGCGGUCGCGAGGUUCGAGCUCCGCCGGGGCGGCGGGCGGCGGCGCCGGGCCGGAGCGCAGCCUGUCCUCGCGCACGCGCAGACAGCAGCCACCGGGGCGCGCGCGGCGCGGACAGGAUGGGCGUCUCCGCCGCCGCCCCGCUCUGGGGCCCCCCGGGGCUGCUCCUAACGCUGGUCCUGCACCCGACUGUGUGCGUGCGCUCCCACUGGGACUACUGCGUGCUGGGCGCGGGGCCCGCGGGCCUGCAGAUGGCCGCCUUCCUGCAGCGGGCUGGAAGAGACUACGUGGUCUUCGAGCGCGCCCCGGCCCCGGGCAGCUUCUUCACGCGCUACCCGCGGCACCGAAAGCUCAUCAGCAUCAACAAGCGCUACACAGGAAAGGUCAACGCCGAGUUCAACCUCCGCCACGACUGGAACUCGCUACUCAGCCACGAUCCCCGGCUCCUCUUCAGACACUACUCCCGCGCCUACUUCCCUGAUGCCGGCGACAUGGUGCGCUACCUGGGCGACUUCGCCGACAGGCUGGGGCUCCACGUGCUGUACAACACCACCAUCACCCAUGUCACCCUAGACAAGGACCAGAGGGCCUGGAACGGCCACUACUUCAUCCUGACUGGCCAGAAGGGCCAGACAUACCAGUGCAGUGUCCUUCUUGUGGCCACUGGUGUGUCAGUUCCCAACCAGGUUGACUUCCCUGGCUCCGAGUAUGCGGAGGGUUAUGAGUCCGUGUCCGUAGACCCUGAGGACUUUGUGGGUCAGAACGUGCUGAUCCUGGGCCGUGGGAACUCAGCCUUUGAGACGGCAGAGAACAUCUUGGGCGUCACAAACUUUAUCCACAUGCUGAGCCGCUCCCGGGUGCGGCUUUCCUGGGCUACCCACUACGUUGGAGACCUCAGAGCCAUCAACAAUGGCCUGCUGGACACCUACCAGCUCAAGUCCCUGGACGGGCUUCUCGAGUCAGACCUGACCGAUCUGGCCAUCGUGAAGGACCACGAGGGCAAGUUCCACAUCACCCUGAAGUUCUUCCUGGAGGAAACCAGCGCCAACCAGAGUGCGGACUCCGUCACCCUCCCGCAGGAGGACAACGACAACUUUGCCAUGCGCGUAGCCUACGACCGGGUCAUCCGCUGCCUGGGCUGGAAAUUCGACUUCUCCAUCUUCAACCAGUCCCUCAGACUCAGCUCCGGGAGCGAGUUCAGCAAGAAGUACCCACUGAUCAGAGCCAGCUAUGAGUCCAAAGGCAGCCGCGGCCUCUUCAUCCUGGGCACUGCCAGCCACUCGGUGGACUACCGCAGAUCUGCUGGGGGCUUCAUCCACGGGUUCCGGUACACAGCGCGUGCUGUCCAUCGGCUGCUGGAGCAUCGGCACCACGGCGUGGCCUGGCCCUCCACUCAGCUGCCCAUCACCCAGCUGACCAGCGCCAUCAUCCGGCGCGUCAACGAGGCUUCUGGGCUCUACCAGAUGUUCGGUGUGCUGGCUGAUGUCAUCCUGCUGAGGGAGAACGCCACGGCCUUCGAGUACCUGGAGGAGCUCCCGGCGCAGACGCUGGCCCAGCUGGGGACGCUCACGGGCAGGACGGCCAGGCACGGGCUCUUCGUGCUCAGCAUGGAGUACGGCAAGAACUUCUCGGGACCCGACAAGGACGUCUUCUUCCACGACCGGUCCGUGGGGCACACGGAGGACGCCUGGCUGUCCAACUUCCUCCACCCCGUCGUCUACUACUACCGACGCCUGCCCACCGAGCAGGAGGUGAGGUUCCGCCCCGCACACUGGCCCCUGCCGCGGCCCACGGCCAUCCACCACAUCGUGGAAGACUUCCUGACCGACUGGACGGCGCCCGUGGGACACAUCCUGCCCCUGCGGCGCUUCCUGGAGAACUGCCUGGCCACUGACUUGCGGAGCUUCUACGCAGAAUCCUGCUUCCUGUUCGCCCUCACGCGCCAGAAGCUGCCCCCCUUUUGCCAGCAGGGCUACCUGAGAGGGCAGGGGCUCGUGAGCACCGAGAGCCUUCGGCGGCACGGAGUGGACAGCGGGCUGCUGCAGGACCACGCCGCCGCGGACCACCUGGAUGGCAGCCGGCAGCCUGGCCACCACAGGCUGGGAGGUCACCCCCCGGCUCCGGUGCCUGCACUCGAGUCCCUUGACGGCAACAGGGAGGAGCUCUGACCGUCCGUCCUGGGCCGGGGGCACGGGGCCAGGCUACCCCACAGGCCACGGUCAGCCCUCCCCCGCAGGCCCCCUUCUGCUGAUGCGUGACUGCCCACGGCCACUCAGGUCCUCAGCGUGGCGGCACCAAGGCUAUCUGCAGGGCGAGCAGAGGCUGGGCUGCCGCAGUGGGGUGGUCUCCCUGCCGGCCUGGUACCAGGAAGUGGCUCAGAGGCGUCCUCUGCCGCGUGUGCACUGCCUUCCCGGGCCAAGCUCUCUCCAGCCAGACCACCGCUGAGCACCAGGCUCCCCCCUCUGUCCCCUUGGAGGGCCCACCUGCUCCUGUUCCUUCCACUCCACUCUUCACAUGGGCCUGGGUCCCACCUGGGGACCCUUCACUGGUGAGACCCUUCAUCAGGGUUGAAGGAGGCACUUCCAACGGAAGCUCAGUAUCCUCAACAUAACGGGCCGGUGGCACCGUGGCCCCCAGCCUACCGCCAGGCGCUCCAACUCGGGGAUGCUGAGUCCCACCCAGGGUACGUGGCCUCUGCUCCCAGCAGCCUUUGGUCUUGGCAGCAGAACUCAGGGGUCCAGCCUGGCUCAUCCUCGGGCCAUCGGGCUGGCACGAUGGAGAGAAGCCCCUGAAGGCCAGCUGGUCUAAGCGGGUCCUCGCAGAGGAGCAGACGCAGAGCCGGCUCUCCCCGGCCCCGCCCCAGCCACUCUGCUCCCUGGGACCUCUGCCCUGCGCCCUCGCUCCCCGGGCCUCUGGCACCCUGAAGCACCUUGGUUGGACCCACCCUGCCCACGUUAGUGAAGCUGUUCUGCUGCUGUCCCGUGCCACACGCACCAGGGGACACCCACAGCACAGAGGCUCCUGUGUGGCAGCCAUGGUGAGUCCAUUCAUGGCCCCCUUCGUGCCAGCCGCUCUUCCUUGCCCCUCACCCUGGGGCACUUUUCUCAUUCCCAAGGCGACGCCUGCACUCGCUGGGCCUGGGCCUGGCUAGUUCUUCACGCAGGUUUCCAAAACCCCAGGGCACAGGCCACUGGACCCAAAGCCCCUUCCCAGGCGCACCCUCUUCCCCUCCGGCCAGUUGCAAAGCCCCUUAGCCUCCUGGCCUGGCCGCCGCUGUGUGCUGACAGUCACGCUCCCUCCUGUCCCUGGCAGAGUUGCAACCUUGCACUGCAGCACCUUGCCAGCAGGGGGCGACUUGCCCCACCCUACCUGGGGCAGUUUGCACGGGGCUGAAACUAACAAAUGAAGGCUUUCUCCCUAAUCCCGGGUGCGGAAUUCGCAGAGCGUCAUGCAUGUCACAGGCAGGCCCGAGUAGGGGCCCGAGGCCCACCGUCUUCCAAGGCACGCCUUCAGUUCAGGACUGUGCUACGGUGCCAGGCAGCCCUGCUCCAGCCCUGGGGCAGGUGGAGUUCGAGGUGCUGUGACAAGUGGUUGGUGCGCAAGCGUGUGACAUCUGCUGCUGCUCCCUCGUCUGCCAAGUCACCCACCCACCAGAAGACCAGCCAGCCUUGUUUGCCUCUAAAGACCGAUUCCCUCCUGCUCAGUUGAUUGGAGAAUCUCUGAUUCUUUUUUCCCUGGCGCUGGGGCUUGAACCAGGGCCCUGUGCACGCGAGGCAAGCGCUCUACCAACCAAGCUACUUCCUCGGCCUGACUCUUUUUAGUGAGAUCUCUGGCAUUUGCAGGAGCAGUCGCUGCGGUCCCCACCCCUUUCCUUAGCCCACCUCAGGUGCCCGUGGCUUAGGGGUGCGGGGGGCAGGCGGCUGCCGCCUUCCUGGGUGUUGGAGUCGUAUUUUCUUUUCUCUUCUUAUAUUUGUGUUGGUUUUCGGUUCUGGGGACUGAACCCCGUCCUGGAGUAGGUGGGCACACUGCACCACCCAGUUACCCCUGGGCUCUGGAUCUGCGAAUGGACAUCUGUUGGGUGCACAGGCAGCGAGUCCUGUGGCGCUGCAGCCACAGGCCAGCUCUCCGAUGCCGAUGGAAGGGACUCACGUUUCCACUUUCAGGCCUUGGUUCAUGCUUUUGGCAAGUCUGAGCAGCGCAGGAGCGGAGCUUGUCCAGCUGGACCAACUUCCUCUUUCAACUGAGGCCUGACUUCAAUAAUUCCUUCUUUUUUUAAUAUAGAGUUACUACCAUUUAUCUGUUAAUGAAUUUGAACUUAUUGUCAAAUCUUUUUCACAAAAAUAUAUUCCAGGUCCAGAUGGAAUUGAAAAUUAAUUUUUUUGCAAUAUUUAAAACUUGGAGUAUGACAUAGAAAAAAAAAUAGAGUUACUGGUGCAAAAUAAACAAGCCAGUGAAACAAUCUGUCAUAUGUAGGCAUUUUAAAUUUAAAAAGAAGUGAUUUUAAAAGGAAUCAUGCCAGAUGCAGUGGCACACACCUGUAAUCCCAGUGACUCGGGAGGCUGAGGCAGGAGGACCUCAAGUUUGAGGCCAGCCUCAGC